UACGAGGGCCCCAAGCGUUAUCCGGAUUUAUUGGGCGUAAAGCGUCCGUAGGUGGUUUAUCGCAUCUCCUGUUAAAUCUCGAGGCCCAACCUCGAGUCAGCGGGAGAGAUGGCUAAACUAGAGACUGGAAGAGGCAAACGGAAUUGCUGGUGUAGGGGUUAAAUCCAUUAAUAUCAGCAAGAACAUCAAAUGCGAAGGCAGUUUGCUAGGACAGUUCUGACACUCAGUGGACGAAAGCGUGGGGAGCGAAUGGG
rnacentral:rRNA from 1 species